AGCGCAGGCGGACCGGCAAGUUGGAAGUGAAAACUAUGGGCUCAACCCAUAAAUUGCUUUCAAAACUGCUGGCCUUGAGUAGUGCAGAGGUAGGUGGAAUUCCCGGUGUAGCGGUGGAAUGCGUAGAUAUCGGGAGGAACACCAGUGGCGAAGGCGACCUACUGGGCACCAACUGACGCUGAGGCUCGAAAGCAUAGGGUGCAAACA
rnacentral:rRNA from 1 species